CGUGCCAGCAGCCGCGGUAAUACGGAGGAUGCGAGCGUUAUCCGGAUUUAUUGGGUUUAAAGGGUGCGUAGGCGGCCUGUUAAGUCAGCGGUGAAAUCUAGGAGCUUAACUCCUAAAUUGCCAUUGAUACUGGCGGGCUUGAGUGUAGAUGAGGUAGGCGGAAUGCGUGGUGUAGCGGUGGAAUGCAUAGAUAUCACGCAGAACUCCGAUUGCGAAGGCAGCUUACUAAGGUACAACUGACGCUGAAGCACGAAAGCGUGGGUAUCAAACAGGAUUAGAUACCCUGGUAGUCCACGCAGUAAACGAUGAUAACUGGGCGUAUGCGAUAUACAGUAUGCUCCUAAGCGAAAGCGUUAAGUUAUCCACCUGGGGAGUACGCCGGCAACGGUGAAACUCAAAGGAAUUGACGGGGGCCCGCACAAGCGGAGGAACAUGUGGUUUAAUUCGAUGAUACGCGAGGAACCUUACCCGGGAUUGAAAUGUAGAUGACCGCCGGUGAAAGUCGGCUUUCCUUCGGGACAUCUAUGUAGGUGCUGCAUGGUUGUCGUCAGCUCGUGCCGUGAGGUGUCGGCUUAAGUGCCAUAACGAGCGCAACCCCUGUCUACGGUUGCCAUCAGGUAAUGCUGGGAACUCCGUAGAGACUGCCGUCGUAAGGCGUGAGGAAGGUGGGGAUGACGUCAAAUCAGCACGGCCCUUACAUCCGGGGCGACACACGUGUUACAAUGGUAAGGACAAAGGGCAGCUACCUGGCGACAGGAUGCGAAUCUCUAAACCUUAUCACAGUUCGGAUCGGAGUCUGCAACUCGACUCCGUGAAGCUGGAUUCGCUAGUAAUCGCGCAUCAGCCAUGGCGCGGUGAAUACGUUCCCGGGCCUUGUACACACCGCCCGUCAAGCCAUGGGAGUCUGGAGUACCUAAAGUCCGUAACCGCAAGGGUCGGCCUAGGGUAAUACAGGUGACUGGGGCUAAGUCGUAACAAGGUAGCCGUACCGGAAGGUGCGGCUG
rnacentral:rRNA from 1 species